CCCGUACUGUUGGUGUUGUAAAUCAUUAUCGUCAUCGAUAUUGACUUGCCUCGAGCACACACCGUUGUGUGUAUCGAUAUCACCAUUAGUCUGGUUGGCUCACAGGCAGUCAGUAUGUGGUGCGGUGUCAGCAGCAGAACCAGCAGCAGCAGCAUUGUUGCGAGUGCAUUGUGUUGGCAGCUUCGAGUGAGCUUGUGCCCCCCGUGCUGGCCUCCCCUGCUAAGGUGCUGGUGCUCGAGAGGAAGAAAAUUGAAAAACUCUAAAUAAUCCAAAUAAACCCCGCCGGCCGUCCCUCGUC